UUCGAUAUUCACAAUAUUCGAUACGAGCGCGUCAAAUCCAAACGUUUCCACUGCGAUAAAAUACAUACAAGUGUCACAACACGCAGUCUUCUCUAGUUCACACAUACACACACACACACACGCGCGCGCGCGAAAUGUAUCUCGUAUCGUUACGUAAAGACACUUUAACCUUUUUCUCUGUUCUACGAUUUUUAUAUCUUCCACUCAACUACCGUAAACCAUGCGUAGAGAACGUUAACGUUGAAUAGAAAUAUUCCAAUUUUCCUUACUUUCUGAAUUAACGUUAUUAACUCGUUUACCCGUUUCAGCGAUAAAUUUACCUCGAUAUAUAUAGAGACGGUUGUUAAGAGAGGAAAAAAAAA